rnacentral:rRNA from 1 species
GACGAACGCUGGCGGCGUGCUUAACACAUGCAAGUCGAACGGAAAGGCCCUUCUUGCAGGGUGCUCGAGUGGCGAACGGGUGAGUAACACGUGGGUGAUCUGCCCCUUACUUUGGGAUAAGCCUGGGAAACUGGGUCUAAUACUGGAUAGGACCAUGCUGUAGGUGGUGUGGUGGAAAUAUUAGUUUCGGUAAGGGAUGAGCUCGCGGCCUAUCAGCUUGUUGGUGGGGUAAUGGCCUACCAAGGCGUCGACGGGUAGCCGGCCUGAGAGGGUGGACGGCCACAUUGGGACUGAGAUACGGCACAGACUCCUACGGGAGGCAGCAGUGGGGAAUAUUGAACAAUGGGCGCAAGCCUGAUGCAGCGACGCCGCGUGGGGGAUGACGGCCUUCGGGUUGUAAACUCCUUUCAGCCAUGACGAAGCCCUUGUGGUGACGGUAGUGGUAGAAGAAGCACCGGCUAACUACGUG